GCUUGGGAGAAGGCUUGGUUGUAAUCGAAGGAGAGACGUCUUUAAUAGCACCGGUAACUCUGCCACGCCCGUACAGGUGCAGCUUACCGGAAUCACUGGGCGUAGUGUAGGGGUAAGUCGUUUAAAGACCAACUACCUGGAUGGACUGUUCUGACGACGGGGAGUGGAAUCUGUGUACGGUGAAUGCGUAAUACAGAGAACACCAUGCAAGGCCUGCUGUGGGGAGCGAACCGGAUUAGAUACCCGGGUAGUCCACACCCUAACGAUGUGUUGGUGAUUGCAAUAACGCGAUAAAACGCCUGGGAUCGGCCGCAAGGUAAAAAGGAUGACGGGCGCAAGCGGUGGAUGGGUUAAUUCAACAGAACUCGCUGACGGGCGGUGAUGC
rnacentral:rRNA from 1 species